rnacentral:lncRNA from 1 species
UUUUUCUUUUUUCAUUUUCUGCAUAUUUUCAUAAUCUGUAUAUUUUAAUCGGCUGUAUAUUUUAUUGAACUAGAUAUAGGAAUAUGUGGUAUGAGUACCAAUGAAACAACUUUCCAUCUUAAUAACAAUUUAUUAAAGUUAACCAUUAUAGGUCAAGGUACGGCAUUCAACACGGAGCCAAGCUCACACCGAACAAGAAGCUAUAAAGGGCCCAAAACAUUACUAGUGUAACACCAUUCAAACAGCAAAUUCAACGACAACACCUGUACAUCAGAUUCCUGACUUAGGACAUGUGCAAACAUUUGCAGCGGGAUUAAACUUUUUAAUGGUACCAAACCUUCUACCUUUUCUGAAACAAUAGCAUAACAUGACAACAUAGAUAA